UAUGCUGUCAUGGUGCUCCCCCUUCUAACCCCCGCCCUCUGAGCAGAUAUCAGUUAUAGGAGCUGGUAUCUUUCGCCAUAUUGAAUCUGCUGUCACCUCUGGAAUGUAAUUUCCAAGACUGGUUAUAUUUCCAUCUAGUCCAUUCCACAAACCCCCCUGUCCCCCAAGAGUAAAGGGAAAAAACUAAUGGGACUUAGAGCUGAAGAGCCAAGUCAGCCUUCCAACAAAACAAAGCUAGAAAUUAGCAUUUCCGGUAGCAGCCCUAGACCAUCAGUGUGAUGAACACACUUGGGAGAAGGCAGUUUGCAGCUUUUGGGGCUAAAAUUGGAUUGCUGGAAGAACAAGGUGCAAGAACAUAGAAACAAGAAUCUAAUGGCACUUGACAUACUGGAGAAAACUCCACAUCUUCAUGAGCAAAGAUCAUGAUGAUGGGGAUUGAAGCGGCGUGGGGAAGAAAACUACAGCUUUCAGCUACGCAGCUCCCAAGAGAACAGUCCUGCAAAUCCUGGUAGGAAGAGCCAGCUCCCUGUGCUACUGCCUCAGGAUCCAUGAAGACAGAGCCCGAUUUCCACACCAAGCCCGGGGUUUCCAAAAUAUAUAUCCUCUUUCUGCACCAGUUCAGUCCAGGAACCCUUCCCCCCGGACAGGAGGAUGCAUAAGAAACUCAUGAUGAAUCUUGAGAGGUUUCCAUUAUUUGUCUUCCUUCCAUUGUGGUUCCUCCUUCCCCUGAACCAAGG